rnacentral:rRNA from 1 species
GAUGAACGCUGGCGGCAUGCCUAACGCAUGCAAGUCGAUCGGUAAGGCUCUUCGGAGUACACGAGAGGCGGACGGCUGCGUAACGCGUAGGAACACACCCUGCAGUGAGGGAUAAGACACCGAAAGGUGUUCUAAUACCGCAUACGGUCUUCGGAUUAAAGCAUUUAUGCGCUGAAGGAGUGGCCUGCGUCAUAUUAGAUAGUUGGUGAGGUAAUGGCUCACCAAGUCGAUGAUGUGUAGCUGGUCUGAGAGGAUGAUCAGCCAGACUGGAACUGAGACACGGUCCAGACUCCUACGGGAGGCAGCAGUGAGGAAUAUUUCACAAUGAGCGAAAGCGUGAUGGAGCAAUGCCGCGUGCAGGAUGAAGGCCCUCGGGUUGUAAACUGCUUUUAUAAGAGAAGAUUAUGACGGUAACUUAUGAAUAAGGGACGGCUAACUACGUG